UGCUAACACUCACACGAUACUUAUGGGUUCAAAGUUUCAAUCAGACACAGAGAAAGAUAUGAGCUUAUAGUUUCACCUUCCAACCUUUUACCUCAAGGGUAAUGUCAACAGUAAUACUUUAUGAUAACCUACAUCCGAGUGGAUAUAUAUAGUAGCACUAUUCUGAUCAUGAGAUCAGAAUAGUUAUUCUAAUCACGAGGCUCUAUAUAGGGGCGACGAGGAUGUUCCUGAGAUCAGGGGAAAACGUAGAAAACCUACCAGCCCACACUACACCUCCUGAACGGCCCAUCACCACACCCAUGACCUUCUCUCCCCGACCUUGACCAAACCACCUGCCGCCGUGGCCGGCCUCCCUCCCCCACCGUGGCCAGCCUCUACCACCCGCCGUCACGCCCGGCCUCCCUCCCCUGUCGCGCCCUGCCUCCCUCCCCCGCUGCGCCUGGCUUCCCUCCCGCCGCUGCCCGCCGCUGCUCUCAUUCGCCUACAACCGCCGCCGCCAUGGAUCCGUAGUCCCUCCAUCCCGCACCGCCCAGCGUCUUCCCCAUCUACGGCGGCGCAACUCCUCCUACCCGGUGAGGAUCUGAAUUGUGGGUCUUCCCUGACGCCUCGUGCUAUGGAGAGCGGCCCGGUCGGUGCUCGCCUGGAAGAGGACGACCAUCCCGUGGCUGCAACCUUCCACCUCCGCCCCACCCGUGAAACCUCCCUGCUCCGGCCAUGGCUCUGGGCGCGCCGCCCAUAAUCUCUUCUCUGCUCCGGUCUGUUCCCUUGUUUCUCUUUCUGCUGCCGCCCGACGGAAUUGUUCCGGUGGUCGCCCAUGCAAGCCACUCCUCCUCUAGCUCCAGUUCUCCACCUACGCAGGUCCAGCCCUCUCACAUUGCCUCCCCAGAGCUGCCCUUCCCUUCCACCAUCGACUUGUGGAGCGAGCAAGUGGGGCGUGGAAGUUCAGAUGUGAUUCCAUCUAUGUUCUGGACAUCACCACGUGAGUCGCAGCACAAAAAUCCCUUUCCACAAACUCAUGUCCCCUGAGGAGCUCCAGCUGGGACGCUGUGUAGAGCAGCCACACAACCGUCAUGCAGGAAUUGACCCUCCCUAUCUUUCUCUGAACUUUCUCUUCAGGAGGAUUUGACCUUCUUUAAUUUGCGAGAAAAUAACUGCAACAUUUGCUUUUUUGUGUGUCCUCUGAAAAAUUGCACUCUGAAAAAUUGCACUUGGACGACAUUUUUAUAUAUCUGAUGGACGAAUUGGUUUGAGGUUUGAGCAUAGUUGAACUGCACAUUGACAAGAAUGUGAAAAAAGCAGGCAUGUCCCCUUCGUUUGGAUGCCCCCUUCGUUUGGAUGUCCCGUGCUAGUAAUGAGAAUGACGGUGGCUCGUUGUCCCCCACAACCACCGCAUGCCACCUCCCCUCGAGCUCUCUGGCUCCUGGAUGCCGCUCCUCUGCCUUCAACAGCAAGAACUGGCACGCUCUAUCCACGGUCUAAAAUUUUGCUCUUCACCACUUCCCCAACUUGAAUUGACUCAUUGACCUCGCGAGAGCCGAGGCCUCCCGUCCCCUAAUCUCUGGUCCCCGUGAAGCCCUUUGUCCUACAUAUAUAUAAGAAGUUGACCUUCAGGUCGCUGCUAAGACGAACAACAGAUCAAGCCAAGUCUAGCGCCACGGUAGCACCCGAGAACAUGGGGAGAGGGCGUGUGGUGGUGGGUGGAUAGGAAAUGUGUGGUGAAGAAAAAAACAUAGGUUUUCAAUUGGACAUUGGUGGUAGCAUCUAGUCAUUUUACAAGGUAAUGAAACAUGUGUAUGUAUGUACAUUAAUAUAUUUUACUCGAACUGAGUUACUCUAUUUUUUAAAAAUGCACUAAGUCUGUGCAGUCAAAAAAGCAUGUAUUAGCCUUCUAAUUGUUGCAAUUGGUCCGUACGCAUUUUACUAAUAAAUGUUGCCCCCAUA